rnacentral:misc_RNA from 1 species
UACAGAAAAUGCAAGCGUUAAUCGGAAUUACUGGGCGUAAAGCGCGCGUAGGCGGCUAUUUAAGCUAGAUGUGAAGGCCCAGAACUUAACCUUGGAACUGCAUUUAGAACUGGGUAGCUAGAGUACAGCAGAGGAUAGUGGAAUUUCAGGUGUAGCGGUGAAAUGCGUAGAGAUCUGGAGGAAUACCGGUGGCGAAGGCGGCCCCCUGGACAAAGACUGACGCUCAGGUGCGAAAGCGUGGGGAGCAAACAGG